rfam:Eutrema salsugineum unplaced genomic scaffold scaffold_23, whole genome shotgun sequence.
AAUCAAUGGUGAGGGCAAUCACGUUCAUACUCCUUAAAACGUUCCCAGACUUCAUAGAAACAUUCAGUUGGCCGUUGAUGAAAGUUUGAGAUCUUUGUUCUCAACU